rnacentral:rRNA from 1 species
UACGGGAGGCAGCAGUAGGGAAUCUUCCGCAAUGGACGAAAGUCUGACGGAGCAACCCGCGUGAGUGAUGAAGGUUUUCGGAUCGUAAAGCUCUGUUGUUAGGGAAGAACAAGUGCCGUUCAAAUAGGGCGGCACCUUGACGGUACCUAACCAGAAAGCCACGGCUAACUACGUGCCAGCAGCCGCGGUAAUACGUAGGUGGCAAGCGUUGUCCGGAAUUAUUGGGCGUAAAGGGCUCGCAGGCGGUUUCUUAAGUCUGAUGUGAAAGCCCCCGGCUCAACCGGGGAGGGUCAUUGGAAACUGGGGAACUUGAGUGCAGAAGAGGAGAGUGGAAUUCCACGUGUAGCGGUGAAAUGCGUAGAGAUGUGGAGGAACACCAGUGGCGAGGCGACUCUCUGGUCUGUAACUGACGCUGAGGAGCGAAAGCGUGGGGAGCGAACAGGAUUAGAUACCCUGGUAGUCCACGCCGUAAACGAUGGUGCUAAGUGUUAGGGGGUUUCCGCCCCUUAGUGCUGCAGCUAACGCAUAAGCAUCCGCCUGGGGAUACGGUCGCAAGACUGAAACUCAAAGGAAUUGACGGGGGCCCGCACAAGCGGUGGAGCAUGUGGUUUAAUUCGAAGCAACGCGAAGAACCUUACCAGGUCUUGACAUCCUCUGACAAUCCUAGAGAUAGGACGUCCCCUUCGGGGGCAGAGUGACAGGUGGUGCAUGGUUGUCGUCAGCUCGUGUCGUGAGAUGUUGGGUUAAGUCCCGCAACGAGCGCAACCCUUGAUCUUAGUUGCCAGCAUUCAGUUGGGCACUCUAAGGUGACUGCCGGUGACAAACCGGA